rnacentral:rRNA from 1 species
UUUGGCGGGCCCACCGGGGCCGCCUGGUCGCCGGGGGACGCCCGUCCCCGGGCCCGCGCCCGCCGAAGCGCUCUGUGAACCCUGAUGAAGAUGGGCUGUCUGAGUACGAUGAAAAUUGUCAAAACUUUCAACAAUGGAUCUCUUGGUUCCGGCAUCGAUGAAGAACGCAGCGAAAUGCGAUAAGUAAUGUGAAUUGCAGAAUUCCGUGAAUCAUCGAAUCUUUGAACGCACAUUGCGCCCCCUGGCAUUCCGGGGGGCAUGCCUGUCCGAGCGUCAUUUCUGCCCUCAAGCACGGCUUGUGUGUUGGGUGUGGUCCCCCCGGGGACCUGCCCGAAAGGCAGCGGCGACGUCCGUCUGGUCCUCGAGCGUAUGGGGCUCUGUCACUCGCUCGGGAAGGACCUGCGGGGGUUGGUCACCACCAUAUUUUACCACGGUUGACCUCGGAUCAGGUAGGAGUUACCCGCUGAACUUAAGCAUAUCAAU